rnacentral:rRNA from 1 species
UACGUAGGGUGCAAGCGUUAAUCGGAAUUACUGGGCGUAAAGCGUGCGCAGGCGGUUCUAUAAGACAGAUGUGAAAUCCCCGGGCUCAACCUGGGAACUGCAUUUGUGACUGUAGAGCUGGAGUGCGGCAGAGGGGGAUGGAAUUCCAGGUGUAGCGGUGAAAUGCGUAGAUAUCGAGAGGAACACCUGCGGCGAAGGCGGGUUGCUGGGCCGACACUGACGCUGAUGCGCGAAAGCCAGGGGAGCGAACGGG